rnacentral:rRNA from 1 species
GACGGCGUACCUUUUGUAUAAUGGGUCUGCGACUUAGUCUGACGAGCAAGCUUAAGGCGAUAGCUGUAGGCGAAGCGAAAGCGAGUCUGAACAGGGCGUUCAGUUCGUCGGACUAGACCCGAAACCAGUCGAUCUAUCCAUGGCCAGGUUGAAAGUAGGGUAACACCUACUGGAGGACCGAACCGGUGCCUGUUGAAAAAGUCUCGGAUGAGCUGUGGAUAGGGGUGAAAGGCCAAUCAAGGCUGGAAAUAGCUGGUUCUCCGCGAAAUCUAUUUAGGUAGAGCCUCGAGUGAAUACCCCAGGGGGUAGAGCACUGGAUGGGCUAGGGGCCCCCACAGGGUUACCAAACCUAACCAAACUCCGAAUACCUGGGAGUACUACUCGGGAGACACACGGCGGGUGCUAACGUCCGUCGUGAAGAGGGAAACAACCCUGACCGACAGCUAAGGUCCUUAAGUCUUGGCUAAGUGUGAAAGGAUGUGGAAAUCCCAUAACAACCAGGAGGUUGGCUUAGAAGCAGCCAUCCUUUAAAGAAAGCGUAACAGCUCACUGGUCUAAAC